GCUCCGGUAGUCUAGUCCGGUCAAGGAUGAGGGCCUCUCGAGCCCUCGACCCGGGUUCAAAUCCCGGCCGGAGCACCA
rnacentral:tRNA from 2 species